UUGUAACGGAGAGUUUGAUCCUGGCUCAGGACGAACGCUGGCGGCGUGCUUAACACAUGCAAGUCGAACGAUGAAGCGGUGCUUGCACCGUGGAUUAGUGGCGAACGGGUGAGUAAUACGUGAGUGACCUACCUUUGACUCUGGGAUAAGCCUGGGAAACUGGGUCUAAUACCGGAUACGACCAAUCUCUGCAUGGGGUGUUGGUGGAAAGCGUUAUGGAGUGGUUUUAGAUGGGCUCACGGCCUAUCAGCUUGUUGGUGAGGUAAUGGCUUACCAAGGCGACGACGGGUAGCCGGCCUGAGAGGGUGACCGGCCACACUGGGACUGAGACACGGCCCAGACUCCUACGGGAGGCAGCAGUGGGGAAUAUUGCACAAUGGGCGCAAGCCUGAUGCAGCGACGCCGCGUGAGGGAUGACGGCCUUCGGGUUGUAAACCUC
rnacentral:rRNA from 1 species